UGCAGACCUUCUGGCCACUCCAAGAGAUGCGGGAAGCAUCCCCUGUCGGGGGUGCACGCUUCCGUAGCCGUCAGCUCAUUCCCGAAAGAUUUUCUUCGAGGUCUCAUCUGAGUCGAGGAGCACGAUUCGAACUGAAACAUUGGCUCUUGGGUCUCAAGCCUGCUAUCCUUCAGACUGGAACUUACUCCAUCAGCUCUUCUGAUUCUCAAGCUUCGGGAUUUGGAGUGGAACUAUACCAUCAGCUCUCCUGGAUCUCCAGCUUGCUAACUGCAGAUCUUGAGACUUCUCAUCCUCCAUGAUCACCAAGGAGCCUAACCUGGUCUGUUUCGGAUCCCUGGAGCCAGGCGCUCUUGCACCCGUGGGCCCCAGUUACAUCAUGAUCAGAAGAUAGAAGUUCUGGCAUCUCAGGUGGAGAGUGAGUGGCCUGCACUACAGCAUCUGGUUUCAUCAGAGCUGUUACUGGCACAAUCUCACAACAUGGCUCAGGCGUUGUUCUGAAGCGCAUAGCCUCCCAAUCUGGCUCUCUAGUCCUCUAACGUUUCUCUGAGCUAUCUACUUUUCUUUGAGAAAUGUCUCUUUUCUUUUUAAUUUUUUUAAGUUUAUUUAUUUAUUUUGAGACAGACAGACACACACACACAUACACAUACACACACACAUGCAACUAGUGGAGGAAGGGCAGAGGGAGAGGUAGAGAGAAUUCUUAGCAGGCUCCGAGCUAACACAGUGCAGAGCCUGAUGUGGGGCUCAAACUCAUGAACUGUGACAUCAUGACCUGAGCGGAAAUCUAGAGUCAGAUGCUUAACCGACUGAGCCACCCAAGCACCCCUAUCUUUUCUUUCUAAACUAGCAAGGGUGUUUGUAUUUUGUCAAACUAAGACCCGAUUAAUACAGUGACUCUAUUAGUUGGCCAGUAUUGCCAUAAUAAACUGCCAUACCUCCACAGAUUGGGUGGCUUAAACAACACAAGUUUAUUUUUCUCACAGUUCUGGAAGCUAGAGUCUGAGACCAAGGUGUUGGCAGGGGCAGCUUCUUCUGAGGCCUCUGUCUCCUCAGCCUACAGAUAGCGGCAUAGGUAGCUGUCUCUGUGCAUUCACACGGUCUUGCCUCUGUAACCAUCUGUGUCCAAAUUUCCUCUUAAAAGGACACCAGUCAUACUGGAUUAGGGCUACCAUAAUGACCUCAAUUAAAUUAAUUACCUCUUUAAAGACCUUAUCUGUAAAUAUAAGGCUGAGGUACUGGGGGUUAGGACUCCAACAUACGAAUCGGGGGUGAGACACAGUUCAACUCAUAAUAGUGACCAAAAUUGGGUUGGUGAUCAGAAAGAGGAUCGAGUGGAGGAGACAAAGUUGACCACUACUACUAAAGAAGUCAAUAAACAUACUUUACAAAUAAGACUAGAGUACUGUAAUAUUUGUAUAUAUACUGAAGUUUGACAAGAGUAUAGCAUAGAUGUAAAAGGGAAAACCAAGCACUUGUUGGAUGAGUUUAUUGGUGCUAACACCAGCUCCAGAUAAUAAAAAUAAUAAAACUAAACUUUCUGGCUAAUGUUAUAUAGUGACUUCAGUCUAAAUUCUGUACUUAUUUUAUUUUUUUUAAGUUUAUUUGUUUUUGAAGAAAACAGAGAAAGUGCAAGCAGGGGAGGGGCAGAGAGAGGAGAGAGAGAAUCCCAAGCAGCCUCUGGCUCUGCACUGUCAGGACAGAUCCCAGUGCGGAACUCAAACCCAUGAACCAUGAGAUCGUGACCUGAGCUGAAAUCAAGCAUUGGUGGUUUAACCGACUGAGCCACCCAGGCACCCCUGUACUUAUUUUAGAAAGAGCAGGGGCACCUGAUGGCUGUCAGUUAAGUUCCCUACUUCAGCUAGGGUCAUCGUCUCAUGGUUUGUGAGUGCGAGCCUCAUGUUAGGCUCUCUGCUGUCAGUGCAGAGCCUACUUUGAAUCCUGUAUCCCUCUCUCUUUGUCCCUCCCCCUCUGUGUUCUCCCUCUCUCUCAAAAAUAAAUAAACAUUAAAAACAUUUUUUUUAAAGAAAGAAAGGGGAAUAACACAUGGAUUAAGAACAUGGACAUUGGAGCCAGCCCUUUGGGUUUAGACAAAUCACAGUUUGUACCUCAAUUUUUCAUCUUUAAAUGGGAGAUACUAACAGAGUAAUUAUAGAAGUCAAACAUGUAUUACAUGAAAAGCACUUAGAAUCUCUGGCACUCACUAAACACUCAAGUGGUAGCUUUUAUUAUCUAAAAAAAUCCCUCAACAGUUGUAAACACAAAAUACAUUUUAUUUUUUUAAGUUCACAUACAAUACAUUUCAAUUACCAGUUGCUCUGUUCUCCUACCUCUUCAAAGAUUUUACCCUCAACCUUUUCCUCACAUUUUUAUUCUCCCUAAAGGAUCCUGUGUAUUCGCCUUUUUCUCGUUCCAUUGUCUAUUCUCAUUCAUUUGCUGUCCUCACAUGUAUAUACACACACAUCUUUAGUAACCUCCUUCUUUCUUAAUUAAAAAAAAAUUCUCAUUUACCUAAGGAAACUCUCUCUUGAUCUCUGGCUCCAAUUUCAAGAGUCACAAGAUCUUAACUACGUUCUAAAAUAAUCUGUUUAGAUUACAUUAAUUUUAUGGGGCCAAUUCUAAAGGUGAACACUAGAUGGCAACAUUCCUAAAUUGUGCUGUUUUCCUAAGGCUUGGUUUCUGAAGUCUCAAAAUGGGAGUGUCUAAUUCUUGAAUUUCUUAAACAUUUUGGUUUUGUUUUAAAAAUUGAAUAAUCCUUUGGAUAGCUCCAUAAAGGAACUCUCUAGGGACUCAUUCUUGAAAAUUAGUUAUUCCUGUUUAUACCUUGUAUGACCACUAACUUUUACCUUUAAAAAAAAAAAAUGUAUGAAUCUUGCUGGAUUUUUUUCCUUAAAAUAAUGCAAUAUAAGUUGUGUCUAUUUAUUAAUUAUGUCAUAUUCUGUUUGUGGCAUUUUAGGUAAAUUUAGUCCUUUUACGUAAGUAAUAAGUUUUUAUUUCAUUUCACAGGGAUCCAGAAAUGAUAUUUUACAUGAUAGACAUAACAGAUUUUUUACAUAACACAUUUUUCCCUUUUUCUAUGUUUGUCUUAUGGAACUUUGAGUUCAGGGACUGGAAAAUAAUAGCUGUGACUUUCCUGAUAGUGAGGAUGAGAGAGCAGAGGUGCAUUUUUUUUUUUAAAAAGGAAUUAUUAUAUAAAUCUUCCGUCUAAUUUUACUUAGGAAAGCAAAACAUUAACUGGGAUUUCAUCUCUUGUAAAAAAUAAAAUUUAUUAAAUAAAAUUACAUUUUAUUGCUGUUAAGGCAAGAAGCUUUUAAUAUAAAGUUCAUUUAGGACUCCAAGAAAAAAAUGGACAGAGAUUGUGAACAAUACAAAAGAAGAAAUGAAAAAAGCCAAUUACCACAUGAAGAAAAUUGAAAAUCGCAAGCAUUGAAAAAAAAGCAAAAAUAAAAUUUUCUUUAGCCAAAAACAAUGUUUGGUUCACCCCCACCCGGCCUCCUUAUACUGAGUAUAAAAGAGAGUAUAGUGACAGCUUGAGUGCAAAUCCCAGCUCAGAAAUCUACCUGCUAUGUGACCUUGAUCAAAUUUUUUGACCUCCCUUUGCUGCAGUGUCCUGAUCUGUGAAAUAGGAUUAAUCAGGAAAAUGAGGGCUAAAUGAGUCAAUAGAAGUAAAGUUCUUAAAAGAGUACUUCACUGAAAUGGCAAUACUUUGGGAAUAUGGGGUUAAAUACAAUAUAUUACUAAAAAAAUUUUCAGAGUAUCUGACACAUGUGUGUUUAUCUAAUGUAUGUGGCCGUUAUGUUAGCACCAUAUAAAUGCUACCUAGUAUAACUUUUGUAACUUAACCAUAGACUGGAGGAUUGGGUAUAGAAUAUAUACUGAAAUAAAUAAUUAAAUUAUUUAACUUACAAUGGAAUUAAACAAUGAAAUUAAAGAUAAGCAGGCAAAACAAGACUAACAGGAACACUAUGAUCUGAAAAAGAAGUAAAGUGUUUUCUAGAAAGAGAAUUGUUAAAUUGUUAUUGAAAAAAUCAAUAAACAGAUUAAACACGUUUCAAGAUACAUAGAAAUUUUAAAUUCAGAUACAUCAGUAAUCAUCAUAAACAUAAAUGAACUAAACUCACAAGUUAAAUAAUGGGUUGUUCAGUUGCAUUAAAAAAUCCAGCCCCCC